AGCGAACGCUGGCGGCAGGCCUAACACAUGCAAGUCGAACGAACUCUUCGGAGUUAGUGGCGGACGGGUGAGUAACACGUGGGAACGUGCCUUUUGGUUCGGAAUAACUCAGGGAAACUUGUGCUAAUACCGAAUGUGCCCUUCGGGGGAAAGAUUUAUCGCCAUUAGGGCGGCCCGCGUCUGAUUAGCUAGUUGGUGGGGUAACGGCUCACCAAGGCGACGAUCAGUAGCUGGUCUGAGAGGAUGACCAGCCACACUGGGACUGAGACACGCCCAGACUCCUACGGGAGGCAGCAGUGGGGAAUCUUGCGCAAUGGGCGAAAGCCUGACGCAGCCAUGCCGCGUGAAUGAUGAAGGUCUUAGGAUUGUAAAAUUCUUUCACCGGGGACGAUAAUGACGGUACCCGGAGAAGAAGCCCCGGCUAACUUCGUG
rnacentral:rRNA from 1 species